rnacentral:rRNA from 1 species
UACAGCGGGGGCAAGCUUUAUUCGGAAUUAUUGGGCGUAAAGGGCGCGUAGGCGGCUUGGCAAGUGGAAGGUGAAAUCCCUCGGCUUAACCGAGGAACUGCCCUCCAAACUGCUUUGCUUGAGGCCGGGAGAGGUGAGUGGAAUUCCCAGUGUAGCGGUGAAAUGCGUAGAUAUUGGGAGGAACACCGAUGGCGAAGGCAGCCCCCUGGGCUAACACUGACGCUCAUGCACGAAAGCGUGGGGAGCAAACAGG